rnacentral:rRNA from 1 species
CGGGAGGCAGCAGUGGGGAAUAUUGGACAAUGGGGGCAACCCUGAUCCAGCGACGCCGCGUGGGUGAUGAAGGCCUUCGGGUCGUAAAGCCCUUUUGCCGGGGACGAUGAUGACGGUACCCGGAGAAGAAGCACCGGCUAACUCUGUGCCAGCAGCCGCGGUAAUACAGAGGGUGCGAGCGUUAAUCGGAAUUACUGGGCGUAAAGCGAGUGUAGGUGGCUCAUUAAGUCACAUGUGAAAUCCCCGGGCUUAACCUGGGAACUGCAUGUGAUACUGGUGGUGCUAGAAUAUGUGAGAGGGAAGUAGAAUUCCAGGUGUAGCGGUGAAAUGCGUAGAGAUCUGGAGGAAUACCGAUGGCGAAGGCAGCUUCCUGGCAUAAUAUUGACACUGAGAUUCGAAAGCGUGGGUAGCAAACAGGAUUAGAUACCCUGGUAGUCCACGCCGUAAACGAUGCUAACUCGUUUUUGGGCUUUAGGGUUCAGAGACCAAGCGAAAGUGAUAAGUUAGCCACCUGGGGAGUACGCUCGCAAGAGUGAAACUCAAAGGAAUUGACGGGGGCCCGCACAAGCGGUGGAUUAUGUGGUUUAAUUCGAUGAUACGCGAGGAACCUUACCAAGACUUAAAUGGGAAUUGACAGCUUUAGAAAUAGAGCUUUCUUCGGACAAUUUUCAAGGUGCUGCAUGGUUGUCGUCAGCUCGUGCCGUGAGGUGUUAGGUUAAGUCCUGCAACGAGCGCAACCCCUGUCACUAGUUGCCAUCAUUCAGUUGGGGACUCUAGUGAGACUGCCUACGCAAGUAGAGAGGAAGGUGGGGAUGACGUCAAAUCAUCACGGCCCUUACGUCUUGGGCCACACACGUAAUACAAUGGCCGGUACAGAGGGCAGCUACACAGCGAUGUGAUGCAAAUCUCGAAAGCCGGUCUCAGUUCGGAUUGGAGUCUGCAACUCGACUCUAUGAAGCUGGAAUCGCUAGUAAUCGCGCAUCAGCCAUGGCGCGGUGAAUACGUUCCCGGGCCUUGUACACACCGCCCGUCACA